CUGAAUCACCCCUGCAAACCUGCCGGAAGAAAAACACAGCAUGAGCCAAUUGCCCAGUACGGAUACAGAUAUACAAAAGAUAUACAACUGAUAUACGAAAAUAACUGAGACAAAAUACUGAACAAAGCCUCAAGUGCAAAUACGAACGAAAAUAUAAUAUCCAAAGAUUUGAAUGGAAUAUAUCUGAAUCAACGUAAUGAAUAUAUCUGAAUCAACGUAAUUGACGAAACCAAUAAAAGAAUAAAGAAAUAACGAACUGAAGUAACUAACUCAAUGACUUGAACUGAACAGAAACCAACAAAACUAAUCCAAUAAAAUAAUAGGCUGAAACAAAUGGCUGGAGUUAUUUUAUACCGAAUGAGCUCAGAAAUACACAUUGCCACACAGGCAAAUCCAAAUAAUGCCACACAGGCAACCAAAAUAAUGCCACACAGGCAAAUCACACAUUGGACCGCGAAUCCAAAUGUAUGCAAAUCGGAUAGGUGUGUUUGGCACAACAUCACAAAUCCGCAGAACAGAAAACUAGGGUUAACCCAUACGCCUCCCACAACAAAACACCAAAUGGCCCACUUCCUCCGGAGCCCAAAACGGAGACGCCGUGGACUAAUCACACCGCCACGGAAAGUGUCAUGCCUCUCGUGCCAAGACGACAUGCCUGUGGUACCCCCACAGGUGGUUAUAGCUCAGGUAUACCCUACGGUAUAUUCUAACAAAAAUAUCAUGUCACAACACAUGCGACAAAAUACCAACAAAAGGGUUCUAUAUGUACAUGUUGAACCAAAUCAGAUUAUAGUCACAAGGUCUCAAAAAGAAGGUAGCAACAUGUACCGCUCUACAAUUAUCAAAAAUAAAUAGUACUAAACAUGAUAACCUAAUUCAAAGAGUACAAAUACGAGUCAUAUGUAUCAACUCCAAAAUAAAACUAAUAUAUUUAUUUCACAGGAAACAAUUAUGUGAAAUAAUAACGAAAUUCGAACAAGCGACAAAACGAACAAAUUAAAUUUAACAAGAAUAUCGCUGAAAGAGUACGGAAUCCGUACCUGAUACUUUCAAACCAUUUAUAGCACACUCCACCAAAUCUUACCCUCAAUUGCCAACGAUAUCAAAUAUGAACGAUAAUCUUUUAGGAACGGAGGGAGUAUAUUUCAUUUUUUCUUCUAAAACGAUAAUCUUUUAGGAACGGAGGGAGUAUAUUCCAUUUUUUGAUCCAUAAUAAAUAGAUGCUAUGGAUCAUUGUUCAUAUAUAUAUAUAUAUAUAUAUAUAUAUAUAUAUAUAUAUAUAUAUAUAUAUCCGACACUUUUUCAUUUUUUUUCAGUUGCUCCAAUAAUUGGCAUAGCUUUAGAAAUGUAAAAUAAACAAUAAUUGACAUAUCUUGAAAAAAAAAGAAAAAAAAAGAAGUAAAUAAUUGACAUAGUUUCCUUGGAAUGAUUUAGUCGGCAACUACAUAGGGGUGAGUUGGCUUUACGAUUUUUUGUUAUUUUCUUCCUCCUUUCCCUACUUUGUGUGCGUCAUGUGUACAGUGUACUCUCGGUGGGCUCCUUCAUUUCAGGGAAUUAUUAUCUACCAAAUUUAUUUAUUUUUUGGCUUUUGAACUAGAAGAUUACUUAACAGAAGAAAGAGAAGUUUUGAAAGUGAAAUUAUAAAAUUAUUGUUUAUUUUUGAAAGUCAAAAUAAGACAUUUUAAAUUUUAAUAUUAUAAUGAAACAAUAAAUUAUAAAUAAUUUAUAAUAUUUAUCACUGUGUCGACUAAUUAAAAUUUAAAAAAAUGAUAUCAAUUUUAAAUUUAAGAAUAUUUUAAAUUAACCUCAUAAAGUCAAUAAUAAUUUUAUAUUUGAAACUGAGGGGAAUACAAUAGAAUGUAAAGUAAUUUGAUUUCAUGGUUUAAGUUUCUCAAUUUCCUUUUUGUUUGGAAACAAAGGCAAAACAUUUAAGAAAAGGCGUCCAGUUAGAAAAUGAGAUGGAAAAAGAAUAUAAAAUAAACACCAGUCCAACUAGUUGAAAAAACUCCUAUAGUUUCUACCUUUCACAAUCUUUUACUUUUCAUAUACUGUCCUUCACUCUCUUUUUGGAGUUCAGAAUAACCACUAGCAUUAAUAGCAAUCCAUUAUAGUACAAGAAAGCACUCCGAAAUAGAAUUGCUUAAUAUUUCCCGGAUCUUGAAAAUGCCUACACGACCAUAUAUAUUCCCUCUUGCAUGUACUUUUUGAAUUCUCUCAUCCAAAUAUUUCAAAAUUUAGAACUUUAGUAUAGAAACUGAUCAAAUAAAUACACAUAAUAAUAUUGUACAAAAAACAUUUCAUUUCCACAAUACCAAAAUGAAAACCUGAAUUGUACGCAUAAACUCAUAAUCAUCAGCCACAACAUUUACUGAUUUACUUCCAAUUAAAGUUCAAAAAUUUCCAGAACAAAAGGAAUCCACCAAUUUUCAGUGCCACAUUCCAAAACCACGCAAAUUUAUAGGCAAAGAAGCUUAAAUACUUGAUGAUACAACAAAAUUGAGAUAUAAUUCAGACCUGUAAUCGAAUGUGGAGAUGAUUUCCCUCUCAAUUAUAUGAUCUUAGUCCGUCGGAGGUCGUUGACGUUCGGAGAUCCGACCAGAUGAUCCGAAAAGAGUAUAGGGUAAGGGGAUUGUUUCGAUGGGAAUCUGAACCGGAAUUUGCCCGAUCGUAGUAUACCAGAUUUGGGUUGGUGGAGAUUUAGCAUCACUAUAUUUUACUGUUGGAGUCACAUCUAUG
rnacentral:lncRNA from 1 species